UUACCCGGGGAGAACUCUGCGGUGAGAGCCGCGGAGUAGUCAGCCGAAGCCGUAGUAGCGAAGAGGCCGGGGAAAGUCGGGAGGAGCGAAGGGC
rfam:Chthoniobacter flavus Ellin428 ctg21, whole genome shotgun sequence.